rfam:Sus scrofa breed Duroc isolate TJ Tabasco Contig34_1, whole genome shotgun sequence.
UAGUCUAGUUGUUAAGAUUCAGUGCUUUCACCACUGUGGCCAGGGUUCGUAUCCCUG